rnacentral:rRNA from 1 species
UACGUAGGGUGCAAGCGUUGUUCGGAAUUAUUGGGCGUAAAGCGCGUGUAGGCGGCUUAGUAAGUCGGGUGUGAAACCUCCAGGCUCAACCUGGAGACGCCACCCGAUACUGCUGUGGCUAGAGUCCGGUAGGGGAGCGUGGAAUUCCUGGUGUAGCGGUGAAAUGCGCAGAUAUCAGGAGGAACACCAGCGGCGAAGGCGGCGCUCUGGGCCGGUACUGACGCUGAGGAGCGAAAGCGUGGGGAGCGAACAGG